ACUCCUGACCCUACCGUGUGUCCAUCUGUCCUGUCUCUAUACCCCUGCCCCUUGCCUUUCUUUUUUUGCACACACAUCUUGAUUACUGAACAUUUGAUGUUCCCCCCCCUGUCUGACCCCAGACCUUCCCCGCAUGCUAAGCUAGUCUCUGUGUUCCCUGUAGCUCAGGCGCUAACGUGAAUGUAAUGUAGACCACUGCAGUCUGCCACUGCCAUCCAUCCCCGGCGACUUUAUCUUAUUCCACGCUGUCUGUCUGCAUGAGGAGCUCUGUGUGUCACCCACCGUUCAGCCUGGUGCUGCCAUGCUGCCGCAGUGAAGCCCUGCAGUUCCUUGUUUUCAACUUCUGGAAACUUCUGGAAUAUGUCACUGACUGACCAGUAUCAUCACAACAGAGAAGCCUUCUUUUGAAAAGCCAAAAACGAAUGAAAACAAGCUACAUCAUCUUCCUGCUCUCUUUUCAAGUGGAGAGGACGCCCCCGGCUUCCUAAAAGGCAGACAAUGAGGACUAUAUUUGCAGCACAGCAAUAAAACUUAAAGUUUCCAAAACAACACACAAUGAAGGGAUGAGAGGACAGUGAAAUCAUGAAUGCUCUCAAAGAUGAACCCCCUAAAAGCGGCCCGAAGGAGACAAUGUCACAAAAUGGCUGCCUGUUUCAAUUCCUUGAAUGCUUCUCUAUGACUUUGGUGCCGAUAGCGUCAAGAUAAAAUAACUGAACUGCCAGACGAACAUUCAAAUGUCCAAUGAAAGAUGGCCAUUUGAAUGUGGACAUGACUACAGACAACAAAUGUUUACAUCUAAGAUGCUAAUAAGCUAAUCGCUUUAGCUCUCAAGCCACAGGCUGCGAAGUGGGAGAGAGCACAAGGAUCCUAUCCAAAUGUUGUUUUGGUGCCGCAGAUAGUUUGACAAUUCCUGUGUACUUUUCUGUAAUUCUGGAUUUACACUGUUUUAAUGUUCAGACUGCAUGUUCCCACAAUUUUAAUAAAGUAGAAAGUUUCAUGUUAAAUCAUGACUCAAUAUUCUUGCAUUAGCCACUAUUUCAUUCGUACUUUCUUGUGUUUUCUCUUUUGUGUUUUUAGGGAAGGAUGUAGAAAAUAUUUUAGAAUGUCAAAAAAUGUAUGAUUGGUGCCAUUUAAAGGCUGUAUUUUUUGCAAAGUUUAUGUUUGACACAUUCUUGAGGAAGGAAAGUGGCUUUAAAAUUGAGGACAAUUUUUAAUGGGGACAAUGAUUGCUCAUGUAAUUACUGCAUUACAGUAAUGAAAUUAUGUCACUUAAUACUGCAAUGUCAUUCCAUGCUGUAGUAUGGAAUUACAUACUGCAAUUUAAAUUGCAGUAUACAUGGUCUCAACAUUUAUAAAUAGUCUAUUUGCUGGUUGAUAGAAUUUUCUUCUGAAUUGUUAUGAUGUUUUGUGCUUUGACGGUGUUGCUUUGAUGUUCUUUAUUAUUACCAUUUGCGUUGAUAAUAAAGUUGGGGGAAAAAAAAGUAUGUAAUCUCAGAAAGUGGGUUCAGAGGCUGUGGGGCUUAGAAACUAAACAUUCAAAAGCAAAGACUACAGAAAAUUAGGUAAUACAAUAACUUUAUUAAGAAAUUCUGUUCUUAUGACAAAAACCGGUCUAAAACAUGGAAAUAACUGACAAAAAAAAUCAAGAAACCAAUCCAAGCUCAUUGUAAGUAUUUACACUGUACAGGAAUCCUUAAAAUAUAAGACGAUGCGCAUCCUUUUAAAUUAAGAUCUAGUUAAGGGCUUUUUUGGAAAGGGUGAUCAAGGCACUUGCUUCUCCUUUGGUCUUUUGCUAUGUACAAUACUGUGCAUCAAUUCAGUGUGAAAUCACGAAGAGAGAGGUCAUUUUCAUUCAGGUACAAAUACCUUCAUGCAAGGGAACUUCCAUGUCAGGACACCUAUAUUAAGUGAGAAAUACACCACGUCUUUUCAUCAAUGUUCUCUUUCAAGAAUUAAAAAUAAUAAUAAUUAACUAAGACAAAACUGAAGAAUCAAUGACAACCAUUUGAAAAUUAUAGUGAUAAAUCUGUCAAUAGAAUUCAAACUGAAGGGAUUACAAUGAAAUAUGAGUUGAUAUGGACACUGCUAUACUGUUAUAUUGCUAGCAAAGACAGCUAUCGAUCUCCUGUACACACAGGACCUAGCAAGUAAAUAAAGAAAUAAAUCAAACAAAUACCAAAACAACCAACAAUAAAAAAUAAUAAUAAUUUAAAGCACCACCAAAUUUGUGUAAGACAUUGUGCUUACACAACACAUGCACUAAAAUGUGGAAUUUCAACACGGAUUAGUUAAUAAAUAAGACCAUAUCAUUGGGU